rnacentral:rRNA from 1 species
GAUGAACGCUGGCGGCGUGCCUAAUACAUGCAAGUCGAGCGAACAGACGAGGAGCUUGCUCCUCUGACGUUAGCGGCGGACGGGUGAGUAACACGUGGAUAACCUACCUAUAAGACUGGGAUAACUUCGGGAAACCGGAGCUAAUACCGGAUAACAUGUUGAACCGCAUGGUUCAACAGUGAAAUACGGUCUUGCUGUCGCUUAUAGAUGGAUCCGCGCCGCAUUAGCUAGUUGGUAAGGUAACGGCUUACCAAGGCAACGAUGCGUAGCCGACCUGAGAGGGUGAUCGGCCACACUGGAACUGAGACACGGUCCAGACUCCUACGGGAGGCAGCAGUAGGGAAUCUUCCGCAAUGGGCGAAAGCCUGACGGAGCAACGCCGCGUGAGUGAAGAAGGUCUUCGGAUCGUAAAACUCUGUUAUUAGGGAAGAACAAAUGUGUAAGUAACUAUGCACGUCUUGACGGUACCUAAUCAGAAAGCCACGGCUAACUACGUG